UACGUAGGGUGCAAGCGUUGUCCGGAAUUAUUGGGCGUAAAGAGCUCGUAGGCGGUUUGUCGCGUCUGCUGUGAAAAUCCAGGGCUCAACCCUGGACCUGCAGUGGGUACGGGCAGACUAGAGUGCGGUAGGGGAGAUCGGAAUUCCUGGUGUAGCGGUGAAAUGCGCAGAUAUCAGGAGGAACACCGUGGCGAAGGCGGCACCUGGACCGGCAUGACGCUGAGGCGCGAAAGCCAGGGGAGCAAACGGGGA
rnacentral:rRNA from 1 species